rnacentral:rRNA from 1 species
AGAGUUUGAUCCUGGCUCAGGACGAACGCUGGCGGCGCGCCUAACACAUGCAAGUCGAACGAGCGAGAGAGAGCUUGCUUUCUCGAGCGAGUGGCGAACGGGUGAGUAACGCGUGAGGAACCUGCCUCAAAGAGGGGGACAACAGUUGGAAACGACUGCUAAUACCGCAUAAGCCCACGGCUCGGCAUCGAGCAGAGGGAAAAGGAGCAAUCCGCUUUGAGAUGGCCUCGCGUCCGAUUAGCUAGUUGGUGAGGUAAUGGCCCACCAAGGCGACGAUCGGUAGCCGGACUGAGAGGUUGAACGGCCACAUUGGGACUGAGACACGGCCCAGACUCCUACGGGAGGCAGCAGUGGGGAAUAUUGCACAAUGGGGGAAACCCUGAUGCAGCGACGCCGCGUGGAGGAAGAAGGUCUUCGGAUUGUAAACUCCUGUUGUUGAGGAAGAUAAUGACGGUACUCAACAAGGAAGUGACGGCUAACUACGUGCCAGCAGCCGCGGUAAAACGUAGGUCACAAGCGUUGUCCGGAAUUACUGGGUGUAAAGGGAGCGCAGGCGGGAAGACAAGUUGGAAGUGAAAUCCAUGGGCUCAACCCAUGAACUGCUUUCAAAACUGUUUUUCUUGAGUAGUGCAGAGGUAGGCGGAAUUCCCGGUGUAGCGGUGGAAUGCGUAGAUAUCGGGAGGAACACCAGUGGCGAAGGCGGCCUACUGGGCACCAACUGACGCUGAGGCUCGAAAGUGUGGGUAGCAAACAGGAUUAGAUACCCUGGUAGUCCACACCGUAAACGAUGAUUACUAGGUGUUGGAGGAUUGACCCCUUCAGUGCCGCAGUUAACACAAUAAGUAAUCCACCUGGGGAGUACGACCGCAAGGUUGAAACUCAAAGGAAUUGACGGGGGCCCGCACAAGCAGUGGAGUAUGUGGUUUAAUUCGACGCAACGCGAAGAACCUUACCAAGUCUUGACAUCCCUUGACGAUGCUGGAAACAGUAUUUCUCUUCGGAGCAAGGAGACAGGUGGUGCAUGGUUGUCGUCAGCUCGUGUCGUGAGAUGUUGGGUUAAGU